rnacentral:rRNA from 1 species
GACAGAGGGUGCAAACGUUGUUCGGAAUUACUGGGCGUAAAGCGCGUGUAGGCGGCAAGCCAAGUCGGGUGUGAAAGCCCUGGGCUCAACCCAGGAAGUGCAUUCGAUACUGGCAAGCUAGAGUCCCGGAGAGGAUGGCGGAACUCUCGGUGUAGAGGUGAAAUUCGUAGAUAUUCGGAAGAACACCAGUGGCGAAGGCGACUUACUGGACACAUAUUGACGCUGAGGUGCGAAAGCGUGGGGAGCAAACAGG